CAGUAGCCACGGUAAUACGAAGGGUGCAAGCGUUAAUCGGAAUUACUGGGCGUAAAGCGUGCGUAGGCGGUUUGUUAAGUCUGCUGUGAAAUCCCCGGGCUCAACCUGGGAAUAGCAGUGGAUACUGGCAAGCUAGAGUGUGUCAGAGGAUGGUGGAAUUCCCGGUGUAGCGGUGAAAUGCGUAGAGAUCGGGAGGAACAUCAGUGGCGAAGGCGGCCAUCUGGGACAACACUGACGCUGAGGCACGAAAGCGUGGGGAGCAAACAGGAUUAGAUACCCCCGUAGUCCCUGUCUCUUAUAU
rnacentral:rRNA from 1 species